rnacentral:rRNA from 1 species
ACAACAUUUGGAAACAGAUGCUAAUACCGCAUAACAGCGUUGUUCGCAUGAACAACGCUUAACCCAUGGCUUCUCGCUAUCACUUCUGGAUGGACCUGCGGUGCAUUAGCUUGUUGGUGGGGUAACGGCCUACCAAGGCGAUGAUGCAUAGCCGAGUUGAGAGACUGAUCGGCCACAAUGGGACUGAGACACGGCCCAUACUCCUACGGGAGGCAGCAGUAGGGAAUCUUCCACAAUGGGCGCAAGCCUGAUGGAGCAACACCGCGUGAGUGAAGAAGGGUUUCGGCUCGUAAAGCUCUGUUGUUAAAGAAGAACACGUAUGAGAGUAACUGUUCAUACGUUGACGGUAUUUAACCAGAAAGUCACGGCUAACUACGUGCCAGCAGCCGCGGUAAUACGUAGGUGGCAAGCGUUAUCCGGAUUUAUUGGGCGUAAAAGAGAGUGCAGGCGGUUUUCUAAGUCUGAUGUGAAAGCCUUCGGCUUAACCGGGAGAAGUGCAUCGGAAACUGGAUAACUUGAGUGC